rnacentral:rRNA from 1 species
AUUGAACGCUGGCGGCAGGCCUAACACAUGCAAGUCGAGCGAGUGGCGGACGGGUGAGUAAUGUCUGGGAAACUGCCUGAUGGAGGGGGAUAACUACUGGAAACGGUAGCUAAUACCGCAUACCAUCGGAUGUGCCCAGAUGGGAUUAGCUAGUAGGUGGGGUAAAGGCUCACCUAGGCGACGCUCCCUAGCUGGUCUGAGAGGAUGACCAGCCACGCUGGAACUGAGACACUGUCCAGCCUCCUACGGGAGGCAGAAGUGGGGAAUAUUGCACAAUGGGCGCAAGCCUGAUGCAGCCAUGCCGCGUGUAUGAAGAAGGCCUUCGGGUUGUAAAGUACUUUCAGCGGUGAGGCGUUACCCGCAGAAGAAGCACCGGCUAACUCCGUGCCAGCAGCCGCGGUAAUAC